rnacentral:rRNA from 1 species
UACGUAGGGGGCAAGCGUUGUCCGGAUUUAUUGGGCGUAAAGAGCGUGUAGGCGGUUCGGUAGGUCCGUUGUGAAAACUCGAGGCUCAACCUCGAGACGUCGGUUGAAACCGUUUGGCUAGAGUCCGGAAGAGGAGAGUGGAAUUCCCGGUGUAGCGGUGAAAUGCGCAGAUAUCGGGAAGAAAACCCGUGGCGAAGGCGGCUCUCUGGGACGGUACUGACGCUGAGACGCGAAAGCGUGGGGAGCGAACAGG